GACGAACGCUGGCGGCGUGCUUAACACAUGCAAGUCGAACGGAAAGGCCCCUUUGGGGGUACUCGAGUGGCGAACGGGUGAGUAACACGUGAGUAACCUGCCCUUGACUUCGGGAUAACUUCAGGAAACUGGGGCUAAUACCGGAUAGGAAUCCUUGCUGCAUGGUGGGGGUUGGAAAGCUUCGGCGGUUUUGGAUGGACCCGCGGCUUAUCAGCUUGUUGGUGGGGUAGUGGCUUACCAAGGCUUUGACGGGUAGCCGGCCUGAGAGGGCGACCGGCCACAUUGGGACUGAGAUACGGCCCAGACUCCUACGGGAGGCAGCAGUGGGGAAUAUUGCACAAUGGGCGGAAGCCUGAUGCAGCAACGCCGCGUGCGGGAUGACGGCCUUCGGGUUGUAAACCGCUUUCAGCAGGGGCGAAGCUUUUGUGACGGUACCUGCAGAAGAAGCACCGGCUAACUACGUG
rnacentral:rRNA from 1 species